rnacentral:misc_RNA from 1 species
CUAUUAUUUUCUCCAAUAACUAACCAAAUUCUUCUAGAACAAUUAUUCCAAAUCUAUGGCUUCUUCUUCUUUUCUUCUCUCCACUUCAAUUACCGGCUCUAAACUCUCCGCCGCUGCACCACCGCGGAGUUCUGUUAGCUUCAAGCACCGGCCGUUCUCUGUUUCCGCCGCGUACUCCACUGCGGAGAGGACUUCUACUGCUACUACUAGUAGCUCUACAAUCGCCUCACAUACAUCGUUAUACGAAGUUUUAGGGAUUCAAUUUGGAGCUAAUUCUCAUGAAAUUAAGUCUGCUUACCGGAAAUUAGCCAGAAUUUUGCAUCCGGAUGUUCGUAAUUCGUCGGCGGAGGACUUUAUAAGAGUCCAAUCAGCGUAUGCUACUCUUUCCGAUCCGGAAAAACGUGCUAAUUAUGAUCGGAACCUAUUUGGAAAUAGAAUUGCAAGGCCUGUUGAUUUCUCACCGGCGGGAGCUCGCAGCCAUUAUACUGUUCGCCGAGGAUGGG